GAAAACUGUAGAGAGGGAUUAACACCUUAGCCCAUAAGUACAAGGCCAUAGGGCCUGUGGUGAUGAUGGUGGGAAGUGUAGGCCAAGGUAGUUGUUAUUAUUUGGAACUUGGCCAUAAGAUCCACAUGAUCAUGGUUGUUUACUUACGGCAAUAAAAGUGAGCAAGGAUCCAGGAUUGUGGACGAGGAACCAAUGGGUACAACAGUAGUCACUGAGUCUCUAGAGCUCUAGCCUAAUCAUGGACUAAAUAUUAAGUCCCAUAAGGUUGGGAGUGGGGGAAGGAGUGAGAGGGUAGGCUAUUCGAAUUAGCCUAAGGACUGAGACAAGGCUGAACGAAAUUAUGGACCAAGCUAUGGAAAGCUGGAGGGAGAAGGUGGAGGGAAGUGAGGUAGAGUCUAACAGUGGUGAAGACCAGUGAUUCAUUGCGGGUUCCCUAUUGAACCUAAAUUGCUGGGAUGUUUUCUAUCACCCUCACAGAUGGCCAACAUGCCCAGCAAUUCUUUGGAUCACAGGUGGCGUUGAGAUGCUGAUUCUGCAUGGAAGAGUGUGGGUGGCACCCGCCUGCCCCAGCAGGGCCCCGGGCACUUUGUGGAGCUCUCCGAUGCCAGCUCUCUCACCGUCACCCUGCUCAUGGACCUCCAGGUGGAGAGGCCUGCGGACCCUGUUGGAGCUGCUCAACUCCUCACAUCGGACCCGGGGCUUCAGCUGGUAUAACUGGCCACUGGCUCGGAUGAUGGUGCAACUUGG
rnacentral:lncRNA from 1 species